GGCUUUACAGCAAUCACAACCUGUUGAUGCCGCUGUUGCUGCUACGUCACCCGGAUCGUUGGUCUGAUUGGUUGAAGGACUAUCCAAUUGCGUACAGAGUCAUUUGAACUAUGCCCGUUGAUCACGCCUCUUGUGCAGUAGAAAAUACAGAGC